CCUCUCUAUAAGACACACACAUUCUCUCUGCCUCUCUAUAAGAUGCACACAUUCCAUCUGCCUCUCUAUAACACACACACAAUCACUCUGCCUCUCUAUAAGACACACAUUCCCUCUGCUUCUCUAUAACACACACACAUUCCCUCUGCUUCUCUAUAAGAUGCACACAUUCCCUCUGCCUCUCUAUAAGACACACAUUCUCUCUGCCUUUCUAUAACACACACAAUCACUCUGCCUCUCUAUAAGACACACAUUCCCUCUGCCUCUUUAUAAGACACACAUUCCCUCUGCCUCUCUAUAAGACACACACAUUCCCUCUGCCUCUCUGUAACACACACACACAUUCCCUCCUGCCUCUCCAUAAGGUGCACACAUUCUCUCUGCCUCUCUAUAAGACUCACACAUUCUCUCUGUCUCUUUAUACGACACACACAUUCACUCUGCCUCUCUAUAAGACUCACACAUUCCCUCUGCCUCUCUAUAAGACACACACAUUCCCUUUGCCUCUCUAUAACACACACACAUUCCCUCUCCCUCUCUAUAACACACACACACACAAUCACUCUGCCUCUAUAUAAGACACACAUUCCCUCUGCCUUUUUAUCACACACAUUCCCUCUGCCUCUCUAUAAGACUCACACAUCCCCUUUGCCUCUUUAUAGAGAGGCAUUCCCUCUGCCUCUCUAUAAGACACACGUUCCCUUUGCCUCUCUAUAAGACGCACACAUUCCCUCUGCCUCUCUAUAAGACACACGUUCCCUUUGCCUCUCUAUAAGAAGCACACAUUCCCCCUGCCUCUCUAUAAGACUCACACAUUCCCUUUGCCUCGCUAUAAGACACACACAUUUCCUCUGCCUCUCUAUAAGACACACGUUCCCUCUGCCUCUCUAUAAGACACACGUUCCCUUUGCCUCUCUAUAAGAAGCACACAUUCCCCCUGCCUCUCUAUAAGACACACACAUGCCCCCUGCCUCUCUAUAAGACUCACACAUUCCCUUUGCCUCGCUAUAAGACUCACACAUUCCCUUUGCCUCACUAUAAGACACACACAUUUCCUCU